GUCAUGCUUCUUCCACCUGACCUAAGAAAUAUCAUUUAUUUUUUACAAAUUAAAUUGUAAUAUGAGGUAGGUGAGAAUCGAAUCCAGGAUCAAAAAAUAACAAUUCGAAGCUUAAGUUCUUCACGUAAAACUCACAAAUCCUUUGAACCCUUCAAACCCUUUCAACCGUCUCCUUCACUGCCACCCUUCAAUUUCUUCACUGUCGCAACCCAGUAAUCAAACCCUUCAAAUCCCAAUACUCAAACCCUUCAAACCCAGAACUCAAACCCUUCAAUUUCUUCACCGUCGCAACCUAGUACUCAAUCCCUUCAAUUCCCAAAACUCAAAUCCUUAAAUUUCUUCACCAUCGUAACAAUCUUUUUCUUGGCCGAAACAAUCUUCUUCUUCACUGCAAAUAAUCAUCUUCUUUUCUAUUUGAUUGCAAACUUGAAGGUUACUCGUUCAUAUAUUCUCAGUGUACUUGCGUCUAAUGCAUCAUUGGUAAAAGAGGGGCAAGUGAUUUGAAACUGAAGCGUACGAAAUUGAAUGACGACUGCAAGAGAGCUAUUAUUCCGAACAACGAAAGAGAGCUUGUGAAAUGUAUUUAUGAAUUUCAGCCAAGCUAAUCGUACCUCAUCAUUGUCUUGAAGCUCGUGUGAAUCAUCUAGAAGAACUAUGUUCCAACCCAUCACUGAUUUUGUCUAUCUAGUCUACAAUUCAAAGUUCCCGCGAAACCUUUGAGAGACAUGACACACAAAGUCGUUGUUCUCGCGCUACACCUACAUCAACUUGCAAGAGAAAGGAGAGCUUGUUGUUCGUGAGGGAGAGCCCGGAGACGGUCUUUACAUCAUUUGGGAACGAGAUGCUAAGGUUAUUAGACCCGGUAUCGCCGAUGACGAAAAUGAUCUAGAAUUUCAGCUUAAAAUAUAUGACUAUUUUUGAUCUGGUAUUGCUGGUAAUAAACUUCAUGCUUAUGCAGUUAUGUUCAAAACUGCUCUUUAAUGUGAACUUGCAACUUGCAGGAUUAUCAAAUGCAAUUCACCAUGCUGAUGUAGUAGAUUUGACUAAGGUUCUCCUUUUUUUCGUUAAUUGCCUACUGCCUUCCAAAUCAACAUAAUAUAAUUAUAAAUAAAAUGGUAGCAACUUUUUCUUUUGUUUGCAAUGUAGCUAUCUUGUCUAGUGCUUCCCCACGAACACUCGGCACUGUUGCGGGCAAAGUCUAUUGGUAGUGUAAAAAAAUCUCAUGAGUCAAGCUCACUUGUAGAGCUUAUAUUGCAUUUGGAACCAAUAAUGGUGCUCAAUUACACUCAUGAUAUGUUUUAAUUGAAUUAGAGAAUGAAAAUAUAUUGUCUUGGAAGCAUUAAGCCUUUUAAAUCUUUCAACUCUUUCUCUUUCGAAGGUAGAUAUAUAUAUUUUGAAUUGCACAAAAUCUGAGAUACCAACAUGUUAAUAUAAUUUAUAUAACUUUAAAAUAUAAUAAUUAAAUUGGAAAUUAGAAAAUUGUAUUUUUUUUCACUGUAAGUUAUUUAUCAUGCUUUUCAAAGCAUGGUAGUUCAUCUUCACAUUAUCCAUGUUUACUAAUAUGAUUAUUAUGGUUUAAAACACAUGCAUAAUGAUAACCUAGAGAUGUGCUUAUAGAAGAUGAUUUCAUCAUUUUAGUUGUUUACCAACUUUGACUACUACUCUAUGGAUUGGUUUAUACCAAGCUUUAUCUAAUGUGGCAAAUGAGGUAGUUAAUGGAAUAAACUAUUGUAAUUUGAGAUUUUGAUAGACAAAUUUUCAAAUACAUAAUUUUCUCUAAUUAUUGAAAACUUUUAAUUUGAAGGGGUUGUUAACAAAAGGUUUCUUAUGGAUCCCUUCUCUGGGUGGUCUCACUAGCAUUGCUGCUAUACAAUGUGGAUCUGAAAUUUUUGGGCAUUUUCCGUUUGUGGAGAGAAUUGUAAGAGAUUUGUCAUCAAGGUUGUAUUGCUUAAUCAUCCACUUUUUAAAGCUUUGUUGGAUCAAGCUCGAGAAGAAUAUGAUUUCAUUGCUGACUCUAAGCUUUGUAUUCCUUGUAAUGAACAUUUUUUUCUUAGUAUUCUUAGCUUUGUUGCCUCUCCACAUCAUGAAAGGGUGUUUGUUUGUGUCUAACAUGAGAAAUUAAUCAUCUUUUGAUUUGAGUAUUUAGUAGUUCAUAGAGUUAAAGUUCUAACACCUACUAUGUUUAUGUUAUUUGUUAUUGUUACAUGUAGUUCAUUAAAGUAUAUUAAGUGUUCUAACAACUAUGUUUAUGUUAAUUUUUUUAUAAGCAAUAUUUUAUUAGAUUAAAGGAGUACAAGGGGUACUCCAAUCCAUAAACAUAAAGGGACCAACAAGUAUUUAAUCAGAACACAGAAAAUAUAGAGGAGAAUGUAACCAAUUAUACAAAAUAGUGUGUCUAGAACCUCUAUUGCUGAUAGCGUGCCAAAUCCAAGCUACAGUUUUGAUGUUCCAUAUGACGUCGUCCAAUACGAUACCUUCUUCUUGAAAAAUCAACUUAUUUCUCGCGUUCCAAAUUAGCCAAGUUGUUGCCAACCAAUACUAUGUUUAUGUUAAUUUGAAUCAAUAAAUUCAGGAACAUGAAGUUUGUGUUUUUUUUUUAAUGCUCUUGUAAUAGAAAAUGCAGAAUUGGUAGUUUGAGUAAAUGAAAUAGUUUUUUCUUAAAGGUAAGAGUACUUUUUCUAUUGGCAUUUUAAUUUUCCUUUUAUCUUUCUUAUUAUUAUUUUGAUUAAUUGUGUUUAUGUAAUUUUAUAUUCAUGGAAGUCAACUAAAUUUUGAAAAUGUUUUUUUUAUUUGUCGGUAAAAAAUAUAAAAUAAAAACUUAUAUUAUAAACAUUGAAUAUAAUAUUUGUUUAUCAAGUUAAUUAAGUAUGUAUGUGAUUAUUUAGAUGUGUUUGGUUUAGCUUUUUCUCUACUGCCACCGUACGUUUGAAAAACAUUUCGUUAUAAAAACCAAAACCAAAAUUAAAAAUAUUACACUAACGUGACUUUUUC